rnacentral:lncRNA from 1 species
UAAAGAAAAGGCAAAUGAUUUACCUAGAGUUAUACAGCUAAGGGCAGAGGCAAGACUUAAAACCCAGCAGUAUGACUCCCAAUCCACUGCUUUUCCACUCACAUUGUUCCUGUCUUUCUCCUAGUUGUGGGGUCCCCCCCGGGGAUUUCGUCCUGAGCAGAUCCUGCAGCUUGGUAGGCUCUUAAUAGGUCUAGGAGAUCGGGAACUACAGGAGCUGAUCCUAGUGGACUGGGGAGUGCUGAGCACCCUGGGGCAGAUAGAUGGCUGGAGCACCACUCAGCUCCGCAUUGUGGUCUCCAGUUUCCUACGGCAGAGUGGUCGGCAUGUGAGCCACCUGGACUUCGUUCAUCUGACAGCGCUGGGUUAUACUCUCUGUGGACUGCGGCCAGAGGAGCUCCAGCACAUCAGCAGUUGGGAGUUCAGCCAAGCAGCUCUCUUCCUCGGCACCCUGCAUCUCCAGUGCUCUGAGGAACAACUGGAGGUUCUGGCCCACCUACUUGUACUGCCUGGUGGGUUUGGCCCAAUCAGUAACUGGGGGCCUGA